rnacentral:rRNA from 1 species
AUUGAACGCUGGCGGCAGGCCUAACACAUGCAAGUCGAACGGUAACAGGAAGAAGCUUGCUUCUUUGCUGACGAGUGGCGGACGGGUGAGUAAUGUCUGGGAAACUGCCUGAUGGAGGGGGAUAACUACUGGAAACGGUAGCUAAUACCGCAUAACGUCGCAAGACCAAAAAGGGGGACCUUCGGGCCUCUUGCCAUCGGAUGUGCCCAGAUGGGAUUAGCUAGUAGGUGGGGUAACGGCUCACCUAGGCGACGAUCCCUAGCUGGUCUGAGAGGAUGACCAGCCACACUGGAACUGAGACACGGUCCAGACGCCUACGGGAGGCAGCAGUGGGGAAUAUUGCACAAUGGGCGCAAGCCUGAUGCAGCCAUGCCGCGUGUAUGAAGAAGGCCUUCGGGUUGUAAAGUACUUUCAGCGGGGAGGAAGGGAGUAAAGUUAAUACCUUUGCUCAUUGACGUUACCCGCAGAAGAAGCACCGGCUAACUCCGU